AUUGAACGCUGGCGGCAGGCCUAACACAUGCAAGUCGAACGAGUGGCGGACGGGUGAGUAAUGUCUGGGAAACUGCCUGAUGGAGGGGGAUAACUACUGGAAACGGUAGCUAAUACCGCAUACUAUCAGAUGUGCCCAGAUGGGAUUAGCUAGUAGGUGGGGUAAGGGCUCACCUAGGCGACGAUCCCUAGCUGGUCUGAGAGGAUGACCAGCCACACUGGGACUGAGACACGGUCCAGACUCCUACGGGAGGCAGCAGUGGGGAAUAUUGCACAAUGGGCGCAAGCCUGAUACAGCCAUGCCGCGUGUGUGAAGAAGGCCUUCGGGUUGUAAAGCACUGUCGGCGGGGAAGCGUUACUCACAGAAGAAGCACCGGCUAACUCCGUGCCAGCAGCCGCGGUAAUUC
rnacentral:rRNA from 1 species